GCCGCGGGUAAAAUCCACGCUGCGGACUGGCAGCCCUGUGGGGAGAAGGCAGAGCAAUCUCAGUAGGACCAGUGGUAAUUGUUUCCGAUCAGGCUGAGCCCUCGCUACCAUGGCUGGUCUCGGUGAGUUUCGCUGCCUGCACUCGUCUCUCUCCGCGCGCGUAUGUGGACGGACGGAUGGAUGGAUGGAGAAAGAAAACCGGUAACAAUAAUGUACAACUCUCGCUCUGACAGACAGCCCCGGAAAGGGGAGGUGAUUUCACAGCCCUCGGCUGCCACUUUCUCGUGCUCUUUGCGGUCUCUCGCCGGCUUCUUCCCCCCCUCUUUUCCCUUUUCAAGGGCUUCCCCCAAAAACAAAAGUCUGAGCGCAACCUUCGGCGUAGGAAAAGAGAGGGAAAAAGAAAAGAGAGGAGCGUGCGCGUGUCAGAAAGGCAGAUCAAAACGACGCAAAAGUCAGGCGGCAAAACCCAGCGGCAAUUAAAUCAACCCGUCUGGAGCGAUGGAGAAGGGGUGGAAAAAAAGAAGAAGAGCGCAGCUCCCGUGCCGCCGGCUGCGCGCCUGGCCGGUCCUGCUCCGGGAGCCAAAAGAGUAGAAGAGGAGGAGGAGGAGGGGAAGCAAGACUAAAAGAGAAGGGGAAAAGCCUGUGAAUGCAGCAGGUGCCUCUACAGGCAAACUGAGGGCGCAGUGGACUUUGAAUGUUAAACACCUUUUUCCUCACACUUAAAGAGAGUUCCUCUAGGCUGCACUCGGACCAUUCUUCCAGCUGUACCUGCCAGAUACAGUGGCCUCCAUCUAUAGCAGGCCAAAGAGUGUCAUGGAAAGAGAGGAUGUUUCCAUGAGGAAAUUGGAAAGAAGAAAAUCUGAGGGCAGGAUGCUGUCUACCCGUCUUCAUCCUAUGGGAACUGGAACAUUAGUGUCACUUACUCAUAUCCCCAAGGCACUUAGAGAAGACAGGUUAUAUGGAAACAUUCUGCAAUAUGAGGAAAUGUAAGUGCAUGAUAGCUCAAAUACCAGUAAUAACACUUUCAGCAUGUGCUUUAUUUUAAGAAAAAACUGCCUUGUUAUGACUGUUUUGCAAAUCUAUAAAAUCAGUCUGGCUUUUGAAUCUGAAACAGCAAGCUUAGGCCUGAGACACACAUCAGGGCAUGUACUGUAACCAGAAUAAGCUUCCUCUGAACUAAGGACCUCAUCAGACAGAAGGAUUUAGCGCAUCAAGAGCAGUCACAGAUAGGUCGUAACUGUGGAUGAUAACGUGCACGUGCACCACACCUCUAACUGUGGUCACUGAGCUGUAACAUAACCUCCUCCUGUAUCCGAGCAGUAGUGAUUUUCACCAAUUUGUAAUCUCUUUACUGUGUCAUCGAUCUGGCUUCACAAUUGAUCACUUCCAUGUGGACAAUUUAGAGGCCAAGAUCCAGGUUCUGAGUUGCCCUAAGUUGACACAUCACCCCCAACAGCUGAAAAGCUAUCCUGAUUUCCACCACCUAAAUGUGAGGUCUUGAAUUUGGAAGUUCCUUUGCUUCUGCACUGCCUGGGUUGAAAACUGUUAUAUCAUUGAAAAAGAAAACCUUGUUCAACUGGCUAAAUGGAUUUGUACUCAUACUCAGAAAGAGUCACCUUUAAAGACCAAAUCCAAAGCUUAGACAGGAGAACAGCAGCCUUUUCUCAGCAGGAUAUGACUGAGUGGCAUUAAAGAAUUAACAUCACAACUGGUUUGUGGCCUUAAUUACUGGUUGCUACCACGACAAGUGCUUUUAGAACUGCAAAGUCAUUGGUAACAGGUCCUUCCUACUUCUGAGGCAUGAGAAACUAGGAGAGCUUCCAUUUUUUUGUUGGAAGAAGUUCAGUUAAACCCUACCUGCAAACAGUCUGCAGAUCUGCUGGGCAGCAGCCCGCACUGCCCUCCCAAGGCACCCUCCUGUUCAUGGCUUAGGAAGCAGGGAGAGAGCUGAGUCCAGCUCUGGCAUUUCUCACAGGGACGCAACAUAUGUUCUCUUUGCUUUUAUAUAUUCAGGAGGGAAAACAUUGCUUUACUCUUGUCAAGUAACACUUGAUGAGUCAAGUGGAGCCUGAAAUGCUUCACUUCCUGCAAAAAUGCCUGGAAGGGCAGCAGCUCUAUCCGUAUAGGCUCAGUGUCUUCCUGGAACAUCCCCCCCAUGCUAGUGAAGACCUACAGCCCCAACAGAAGUAACUAGGAUUGGCUUCACAAAAGGAUGCUAAAGUAGUUGAAAGUCCCACCUAACAUAUAAGCAGAAAGAUGACCCUGAGGUUGGGAGGUUCUAAGACUUGGGAGGCCUCCAGCCCCAAUUUGGUCUGUGACUUUGGGUAAAUCACUUAACGAGGAAUUCACAAAGGCUAAAAGGCUAAUCUCCCUUGUCUCCCUCUGCCCUGCGAGAGAUAAUCUUCUCUUGAGGACACUUUAGAGCAGACACCUAAUUUAACCAUUUAAAAAUGUCAUAUCUCUUGGGACACGUCAUAAUUUCCAGCCUCAUAAUGGAGAUCCCAGUAAACCCCUAGUUUCUGGUGGUAUUCAAAGGAUGAAGCACCACAGACUGUAAGGAGAUCUGACAAUGCAAUAAAAAAGUCCCCGCAAGCUACAAUCUACAGAACACGCGGAGCAAGUGUGUGAUGCAUUUCUUAACACGCUCAUUAACAGACCCCCAAAUGACUGUGUGGCCACUGCUUGUGAUCACAGCAGACAGGGAAUCCUGUAUGACUAAGAAGUGGUAAAACCCAUUCUGCUGAGCCUUGCUCUAAAUUCAAUGACCUGCUCCAGCAUGGAGCUCUCUACGCAAUACUAAUGGAUGAGAAUAAUCAUUCUGACAGUGAUGAUUCGGAACAGAGCUCCCAAGUCUUUCUGAAAUGAUACACGCUAUACAUUCAUCAUCACCAGAGAAUUAAUUUUAUUGUGAUGAAUAGAGUGCAGCAGGCUGUUGUGCCAUGCUUUUUCUUGUCCAUUACAGAAGCUCCCUCAUAGUUUUUAUGAAACUUAAACUGAGGCCUUCGGCGAGACAAGAAAGAUCCUCAAGAUUUGUGAUGCCAUCAGGACAGCAGGUACUGUCAGAACACCUCACAGACAACAAGCAAGGAGAUAAAUUUGAAUGCAGAAAUUUGGAGAAGGGUCCCUCUGAAAUUACAAUCUGCCUGAAAUUCAUGCUUCUGAAAACGCCUGACAUCAUUUCACUGCAUUCAGAUCUGAAAAGGAGGAAAACAUAUUCCUAAACUUGUCCAGAUUUUCUAGAUGAAAAGCCAGAACUGUCCCACAGACUCAGUACCGUUCUUACAAGCUGCAAAUCAGGGAUACCUCUGCAUCACUUCUUUUCUGCUCUUUUCUCCUGUCUCCUCAUCUUGGUAUUUUUAAAUGCCUCUCCUUUUUCUAAGUUGCAUCCGCGUCCUGUUUCUGUCAGGGACAGCCCUAUUUAUAGGUUUUAAAGCCCUGUCCAGCUGCCUGCCCCAAGCCAUGGAGACUCACCCACUUCUCUUGGCAAGAAGCCACAACCAUUGGCUGUGCCAAGGUGCCAGAGGACCCUGUUAAAGAGACGCUCCCAGCUUUGGUUUACGCACCUCCAGUUGCAGAGAUCUAUCCUAGAUCAGUGGUUUUAUUAAUUAAUUCCCCCCAACCCAAGUCAAGAAUUUCUUGUGUUAUUUUAAGCACCAACCUAUUUCUUUACAGUCCAGCCACUGAGUCCAAUCACGUGUUUAUCUGCUUAGACUAAAUGGUCAUCUGUAGUUAGAAACCCUCUCCCCUAAGAAUAGCGUUGUACCCAUCUGAGUCUCACUUUGUACCAAUUUUGAUCCUAGUCAAAUACGCUGCCAUGCAUCCCCAGCACCCGGUGCCAGGCAGGGAAACAGGGCACUCUCAGCAGCCUCCGCAAGAACUGGCAGACACCAGAUUCCCAGUGCCAUGCUGGUGAUGAGGGUCAGACAGCACGCAGGUAGGGCUGGGAAUGAGAACUUAGGGUCCAAGCCCAAGGAUGGGGAAAGGAGACGUACCAGAAGGGGGAAGGAGGACCCUCUCACUGAGAGCUGCAGGAAUAAGGUGACUCUCCAGGGGAUGAGGGAUUUUGCUGGUGGCUUUUCCAACAGCUGGUCCUGUCAGACAGCUCCGCUCUGCUUCCGGCAUAGUCCUGCGAUCGGAUGUAGCAGCAGCACAGCUGCACUGCCCACAGGCGUCACUGCUUGAGGCAGCGGCAGUCUGUCUCAACCACCCUGAUUUAAACUCAUCCAAACUCAUCAAUUUGAAUAAACAAAAGUAACCCCAAGGUGGGCAUACUUGAAAACUGCUCAGGUGAAGCAGUACCUACCAGACAAGCCAAUACCCACAGAGGGUAUGGAGACAGGUCGAGUUCCUACAGCUGCCUCUGCCCCAUAAGGAGAGCGCUCACCCAUUCUCAUUCUGGAAGCCUUCAGAAAUGCUCCCGUGUCUCUGCUUUAAGGAGCUGUUUCAGGAUGUGUGGAUCCCCAUACUGCCAGCAAACACACCUUCUAACAAUAUAUUCCUCUGAAGAAACCUGUUAGAUCCAACAGCUUGCUGAGUGAACAAAAAGAACAAGAGCCCAAAGAGGAAUGGAAGCGUUGCUUCCUGUGCAACCCCUGAGGAUUUGUGCAUAAGCCCUGGCCUUCAGAGACACUUCAUUACCUUCCUAAUUUAUACAACACACAGGUAGUUUUUAAAUAAGACAGUGAGCCUGCCAGCUUCUUCCUGCAGGCAGAGAUCAGGGGAGGACAAAGAGCAGGCUGGACAGAGCACCCUGGCAGCUGCCUGGACAGAGGCUGUUGAUGUGCAAACAGCCCUACUGCAGAAGAAGCCUAAAGCCCCAAAAUUUUCCUUGUUUGAAACUUCUAAGAGUGUAUGAGAUGUCAAGAGAAAUCUUGACAGGCAAAGGCCCUUUGGAGGAGUCCUGGCCCUGAUAGAAUCACAUAGAGCUUUGCCACUAAUUUCAUCGGGGCUGUAAAUUCACCUCCCGAGUCCACCUCUCACCCUGUUCCCUGUAAAUUUCUCUUGGCUAGAGAAUGAUCACAACACAGAAGUAGCAAAGCAAAUAUGGAAAUUAAGGCAUACCUUCAAAUUCAAAUUCAUUUGACUGAAUUACAACAAUUUUCCAGUAAAUUCAUCGCUCAUCAAAAUGGGGAACAAACAGUGAAUCUGACUAGCCUCUGACAGACCUGGCAUAAGCAAACAAAGUGCAUAUUUCUACUGCUUCCAUCUCUGGCAGGACACUCCUAUUCCGUCCACCAGCAUCCCCUGGUAUCCCUGCCCACUCUCCUCAUCUGCUAAUGUAGCUAAGUCCUGAAAAGAUGAAGCUGCUAUUGUCAUGAAUUUUUAAUGAUGCAAGGAAAAGGCUUCUCCUUCAGGAAGAAGAAUAUUUGGUGGCAUUUACUCCCUAUGAUCAAAGCCAUUUCACGUCUCUUGUGUGAUAUUAUUAGAACACAAUACGAACUGAAAGCGGUAUUCAGAAUAAGGUCCCUAUUCAAGAAAUGCUUUCUGCAAAGAAGAAUGCCAGGACCAAUGCCAGCGGGAAGCUGGUGGCCUUACAGCACCUCUCUGCCCAUGUGUGUCUGCAGGGAAUCGCAUGACGUGACAGCCUAGUGGGGACCUUAGGGCCAGUCCCCUUGCAUCACAAGCACAAUGCUCUAAAAACAUAUUCAUUCCCCUCCAAAUGCUUCCCAACACCCAAAGCAAUUGGGCAAAUACGGCCAUCAGCAAGAAGCUUGAAUCUAAUGAUGUAAUAUGCCACGGAAAGACCUAUAUUUUAGGUCUCUGCUGGUAUUUAGUAAAUAAAAUUCCCAGAGGAUGACAGGAAAAGGACUAUGUUCCAAAAGCAAAAGGCAGCUGCUAGUAGGAUGAGGGUGAAGCUAAUUAUACGGCUCCCAUGCUCCCAAACCUUGCAUUAUUUCUGUGCUGAGUGCGUGCUUGGGACAUACCAAGGAACCACCUGAGAUCUAAUGCCAUAAACAGUGCUUACACGCUCUGUCUGUCCUGUCACCAUCUAGGCCAAUCCUCCAGUGCCAAGAAGCAAAUGGGGACCUUACAAGAAGAUCUGUUAAGCAUCCGCUAAGGAGAAAGGAAAUGUUGAGCUAGUAGGAAAGAGGAGGUUGAGACAGAUUUGGCUGUAUGGAUUAAUUCCAGGUAUUUUCUAUUUCUCCCCUUACUGAAGGACACAAUAGAGUAUAGGUUUUUGGAAAGUUUCUCCCAUUGACUUCAAACAAACUCUCCUCACGUCCCUGACAAACACGGUACAUGAAAUUAUUCCGCAGUGAAAUAUCUUUGGUAGCCAAAUAUGCUAUAAUUAUGAAUUGUCAUGUCUUAUUGCUGUAACUCAAUCAAUAAGGAAACACCAAGAGGCCAAACUAAUAAAGCUCCUAGCCACAAGCAAUGUAUGUCAUGUAAAUUACCGCCAUCAUUACUCAAGAACUUCCAAAACGAAUCUGUCCCUUAUUGAUGUUUGAUGAGUGCUUCAUGAAAAGCUGAUGCCUUGUUCACACUAUAACUAUGAAUGGGGAUGAGGAUGCAUUGUUCAUACAAACUGAAAUGUUCAGCCUCAUUUCCAUGGCUGAAGGACUGAGAUACCUGUGAUUAAGGGAUACCUGCAAACACAAUUGCCAGUUGAGCCACACUGCUUAUGCUACCAGACACGUCUCCACACUGUAAGCCGUCAAGUAAAACACAUCUGCACAACUAUCACAAAACUUAAGGGAACCACAACUGGAAUUGAAGUGAAAUUUAUGCAUUUUGGUAAACAUAAUGUCUAUAAAUUAAUGUUGAUAUCAUGUGAUGGUAUGCUUCCCCCACCCCUCUGCAACCUGAUCUAUAUUUCCUGUAAUCCUUUUAAAGCAAUAACCAACAAAGGUGGUUGUGAUUGCUGUAUCCAACUUGAGCAUUUAAUAAACAUCAACAACGGUCAUGAUGGAUGUGACAGGUCAUGAUGGUUGCAUUCCACUCAAUGUGGAUUUGGGGAAGACAGGUAACAACACAGUAACUAAGGGCUAACUUGAGCAAUGCCCUCACCUGUCCACGGUGCAGGUCAAUGCGUGACUCAAGCCAAAUUUGGAAGAAACUAAGAUCUGCAUUCAGUAUGCAAAUAUGACUAUGAGUCAAUCACCUUACCUCAUAAACAGUGAGCAGCCCAGGAGCACAUUGAGCUCUCCUGUACAACAGUGGGAUGUACAACACGAUCUCCCCUUGAGUAGGAAUGCCUCUUGAGGUUAUGUCUACUGAAGAGAUUCCCUACAUCUUGACAUCAAGAGAAUCCUUGCUGUGACAGGUCCUCAUAAACACUCUUGGCAAGAAGCUUACAGGGCCACAGAACCUUUGCUCUGGAACAAAACCUACACUGUGGGCCUGAUCCUGGACACAGGGAAGUGGAGGCCUGCUGGAAGGCUGGCAGAAAUUCAGUGGCUGCAAGGCAAUUUGGACAAACUGAAGCUCAUCCUGACACUGCCCGGCUUUAGCUAAUGACUGCCGACCACAGAGGAGGAAAGAAAGCACUAUUGCCCCAGUACCUGUGUGAAUUCAGCUGGAUUUUUGUUUCCCAAAUGAAAACAUCUGGUAGGAUUUCCCCAAACGUGCAAGCUGCUUUUAGAGAACUCCACAUUAUAUUUUCAAUGUUAAUUCAAAAAAAAACAAAACAAAACAAAACCAAAACCCUCAUUUCCUGCCUCUACUAAAUGAUAAAACUUGAAGUUAUCCGCUGCCCCUUCAGAGUACGGACUCAGCCCCCACGUACAGUCUUCACUCCCUUGUGCUGCUUCUCUGUGCAAGUUUCUGAAGAAACGGUGUUCUUCCCUCUGCCCUUUUCCUUGCUCAGGCACAACAGUCAUGUGGAUGUUACUGGGCCAGCAUCACAGAGUCUAAAAGAGGUUCUCAAGGUCCUGGCCUCGUAGAAGUAGCCUCCUAAUCCUUAGGCAACAACCCACUAGGAGCUGCAGCAAUGGGGCAAAUCUUUCUGCUUCAUAUUGACCGAAAUCAAUGCCAUGUUACUGCUUAUUGCGUCAUGGGGUUUUAUAUAGCAGACUUUCUCCCCUAAGAAGGAGACCACACGUGUGGAAGGACUUGGAUUUUUAAGCUUCUCUGAUUUACAUAUAGCACACCAUGCUGGCCUUGAGGAACUAGACACCGGAAAUACAUAGAAAGAAAGCAAACAGAGCAAAGGGGGAAGAAUAAAACCACCUCUGUGUUUUAACAGCCUGACACAUCAGUUACCAGAAGAGAAGAGAAAGUCUCUUCUCCAAAGAAAUAUCAUUGUUAUCCUUUAAUGGAGACCUACUGACAGUCCUGAAGAGUUGCUGUAUGCCCUAGACACCAGUUUGAUGACAAAGGGAUGCACAGAGCCAUGACAGUGAGGGAAUGACCUGUCAGUGCCACUUGUGCCUUCUGCGAGUGUUUCUGCUUCUGAAAACAUAAUGCAAUUUUGAAAGAUCAUGAAAAACUUCAUCUUAUUUCUAUAAAUCUCACAGACAGAAAGAGCCUGCACUAGAAGGCAGCUUCUCCAGAGCUUAGCUACCUGCUCAUGGCCACGGAUGUCCUUUCUAUGUGGCACCUUGCAUUUCCAUUGGAGAUGGCCCCGUAACAGGAAUACUUGUAGCCCAUUUCCUUAUAUGUCUGGGUUCAUCCUCAGGUCACUUCUGGUCCAUACAGUUCCUUUCCUUCCAUUAACUCCCAGCACUGACACUUCUGCUGUGAGAACACAACACCCUAAAGAGCCUUGUGCCUAUCAGUUCCCCGGUCCUAAUCUCUCCCUUAGGACACACAGUAGGCUUCUUUAUACCAGACAGGCUGUCUUUGCUGCAGUACCAUAGGUAAAUCCCCCAGAUUUCUAUCGGGUCAUUUUGCAGGGACAAACACACACAGCCAGCGUAGCCUCAGGAUUCCACGGACACACCGCCUGCCUCAGAUGAGGCAGCACAGCCGGGUGGAACGGCUGCAAAGCAAGAGCAGAGGCCUUCCAACUCCAGCUCCCCUGAGAGCUGGCGAUACUGCUGGGUAAACAAAGUUUAUCUAGAAACUGGCUGAGCUGUGCGGCUCCACUGAGCUUCUCUGAGCCGACCGAAGAGGCAGCGCUUCGCUUAGGUCUUCCCAGAGACAGUACAAAACGUAACGUAAAUAAAUAACUGCAGCGACAAAUAGAAAACAGGGAAAAAAAUCACUCCUCUCCCAAACGUUGGACGCUGUAGUUCCCAUUUUAAAACGUUGUGCACAGCACAUUUCAGAGCAUCUCACCCUGGCUGGCAACCACUCCCUUCCCUCCCCCCUCCCUCACACACAAGGGACUGCUCCCUAUUAGCUAGCAAAUGGAGCUUUCCAUCUCCUCCCUUAAUUACUGCCCUGAUACCAACAUCCCGCACAAACACAGGUGGAUUUGAACUUCCAUCAGAGAGCCGUAGCAUCUGCUGAGCACAGAGAGAUUUCUUUUGUUAAAACAAUUAAAAAUAAGUAUCCGAUUGUCUCUACGAGAACUGCGGACAGGACGUCGUGAAAAACCCACUGCUGGCUGAAAACUGGCAGCUGCUCCUCAGUCUGACAGAAUAAUUAAAACCGGUGUGACAAUAAUUAGCACUUCUAUGGCUCUUUUCAUCCGCGUAUAUCAAAGCACUUCACAGAAACAAGUGCAGCUACCUCUUUUUAAAGCUGUGCUCAGAAGAGAAAAAAAAA